GUUUAUAUAGUUUAAUAAAACAUUACAUUUUCAUUGUAAAAUUAAAUGCAAUUUUUAUAAAUA
rnacentral:tRNA from 1 species